GGCAGAGGGUGCAAACGUUGCUCGGAAUUACUGGGCGUAAAGCGUGCGCAGGCGGUUUGUUAAGUCUGUUGUGAAAUCCCCGAGCUCAACUUGGGAAUUGCAAUGGAUACUGGCAGGCUGGAGUAUGGUAGAGGAAGGUGGAAUUCCCGGUGUAGCAGUGAAAUGCGUAGAGAUCGGGAGGAACACCAGUGGCGAAGGCGGCCUUCUGGACCAAUACUGACGCUCAUGCACGAAAGCGUGGGGAGCAAACAGG
rnacentral:rRNA from 1 species